rnacentral:rRNA from 1 species
UACGUAGGGGGCUAGCGUUAUCCGGAUUCACUGGGUUUAAAGGGUGCGUAGGUGGGUUGGUAAGUCAGUGGUGAAAUCUCCGAGCUUAACUUGGAAACUGCCAUUGAUACUAUCAGUCUUGAAUACCGUGGAGGUCAGCGGAAUAUGUCAUGUAGCGGUGAAAUGCUUAGAUAUGACAUAGAACACCAAUUGCGAAGGCAGCUGACUACGCGAAUAUUGACACUGAUGCACGAAAGCGUGGGGAUCAAACAGG